rnacentral:rRNA from 1 species
AACGAACGCUGGCGGCGUGGAUAAGACAUGCAAGUUGAACGCUAAUUUCGGUGUAGCAAUACAUCGGAGUUGGAGUAGCGCAAGGGUGCGUAACACGUGGGUAAUUUGCCGUGAAGUUGGGGAUAACUCGCUGAAAGGCGAGCUAAUACCGAAUGUGAAGUUUGGGUGGCAUCACCUGACCUUUAAAGCUGGGGAUCGUAAGACCUGGCGCUUUAUGAUAAGCCCGCGGCCAUCAGCUAGUUGGUGAGGUAACGGCUCACCAAGGCUAAGACGGGUAGCUGGUCUGAGAGGACGACCAGCCACACUGGGACUGAGACACGGCCCAGACUCCUACGGGAGGCAGCAGUGGGGAAUCUUGGACAAUGGGCGCAAGCCUGAUCCAGCCAUGCCGCGUGGGUGAUGAAGGCCUAGGGUUGUAAAGCCCUUUCGGCGGGAAGAUAAUGACGAUACCCGCAGAAGAAGCCCGGCUAACUUCGUGCC